rnacentral:sRNA from 1 species
AUUUUCUGUUGCUGCUGCUUUUGCGGUAGAAGCUGCUGCGAGUAAGUCAGAGGAAGGAGGAUUGAGAAGGGAGGAGGCUUCACUUGCAGCCAUGCUGAAUCACUGUUGCUGAUCAGAUUUCCCACUGGUCUGCUGGGAGAAUCAAGAACAGAACUAGGAUCCCCGAGUGCAUACACAGUUCAGCAGCUACCACCCUGGCUGGGCCUCACACAAUGGAGGGUGAAAGUGUCAAGCUGAGCUCCCAGACUCUGAUACAGGCUGGGGAUGAUGAGAAGAACCAGAGGACGAUCACUGUCAACCCUGCCCACAUGGGGAAAGCAUUCAAGGUUAUGAAUGAACUGCGGAGUAAACAGCUGUUGUGUGACGUGAUGAUUGUGGCAGAAGAUGUCGAGAUAGAAGCCCACCGUGUGGUCCUGGCAGCCUGCAGCCCCUACUUCUGUGCGAUGUUCACAGGUAAAAACCAGAAACUGUGGGCAAGCAAAAAGUAAAAAAUUACGUGUACCACAACAUCUAGUUCAUGUUGCCCAAAUGUCCUGAGGUGGUUCCAAAUACCAAUCCCACACUUCUUGACCAUUGUCCUGUGGACAAUAACUUGGAAUAAAUGUGAAACUG